UUAGCCUUGGCCCUAGAUUCAAAGACAAAAUGCCUUGUGAAGUUGAAGCCGUAUUCAGAACUUGCCGGGAUAGAGUUCUACCAUUCUCCUCAUCAGCCUUAGAUUGGUCUAAAUAGGAAGAUUCUAAACCUUUCAAGUCAUGGCCAGUCACACCUCCGGAGUGGAUUACAUGGGUGGAUCCCUUAGAUCCCUAUUACGGCAGUACCUGAAAAAAAUUUGGAAUUUAUGCCACGAUACAUCUAUCCUAUAUUAACAUUCCACGCGACAAAGGCCUGAUUGUAGCUGCAUUUUGUUUGUGGUCUUGUAUUUCCAAUGUUUUUCAUUUCAGGUUUGGGAUGAUGACACUGACCUUUAAAUCUAGUUUUUUUGCUCGGCCUUAGACCUUAUGGCGAACUUUUGUCCAUUACUGCUCUAUCUUGAGACGGCAUGCUGCAUUGUGAAGAAGCUAACUUCCCAAAGCAUGAAUCUUCUUACAACCACUUCUUGAAGAACAUCCAAGGCAAAGGCAAACCACCCUUAAAUCAAGAACACCUUUCUUUUCUUCUUUUGUGGUUGUGCAAGUAUAUCUUUUGUGUGCCUUCAAUGCAAGUGACAAAAGGAUACAUUCACAUAGCUGAAGAUCUUACUAUUGGUUUGUCGUCAAUGCUAACAUGGACCCACAUCAUGCCGGUCCUCUGUGAAUAUUGCAGCUUUGGCUCCAUGCCUACUUUCUUUAGAAGAGGCCAUCUCUGUCCACAAGUCAUCCCAAUACGCUCCUAGGCUGCCAAAUCCUACAAAAUGGUUUACAAGGACAUUCGGCCAAAGAUUGCUUUGACUUCUUCUACUCCACAAACCAUCGGGCUUCGGAAACUUUUUCUAUGCUGACCAGAUAUCAUUUUCUUCCUUUUUGGUUGAGUACUGCACUUAAUCCUUGCCAGGGCAUAGAGAAAAACCCUCCAUUAAUGAAGACUGUAAAGAUUAUUUGGUCCAGCCAAUUUUUAGACAUUAGUUGUUCAUCUAACAUUCAACUUUUAUCCCUUUCGUUUGCCAAUGAAAGCACUUCCAAAAAAUAAAAAAAGUGGGACAAUCCUGUACCCCCGAAUCUGGUAUAACUUAGCAUUUGUAAAUGUGGUUUUAGUUUUAUUUAUACUAAAAUUAACUUUUUGAUAAAUGCAGAAAAACCACACUGGGCACGCGAAGAUAAAAAAGCUAUCAUCCCAUCUUCUCAUGGCAAUCAAUCUCCAACAAAUGACACGCAUAAUGAUAUUAUUAAUAUAUGGACAUAUAUAACCUUUGGCCUUUUCUUUCCACCAUUCAUACAUGUCAACUCAUUAAAUUUCUUUUUUUCAUGAUAGAAUGGCCAAACUUUGGACAAACGCUCUCCUUCUCCUUUGGCCGAAUCUUCUAAUUUGCCUUUGGUGUCUUCGACCUCGUUUGCUAUUCCAAAACCUCUCUCUGUCACAACAGGAAACAAAUCCAAGGAAUCUUUCAUUUUUCCGGCUAAAUUUAACCUUGGAGAGAAUAUUUUCCUUGAUGCUGAUGACCUUCUCGGACCAUUCUUGCCUACUCCAGUUGUCACUCAAAUAGAAGUAGACGAUUCUGAAAUUGAAAAAGUCCAAAAAGCUUUUGACUAUAUUGUUAGCUUUUUCAAAGGAGAUUUUAAAGCCUUAACUAAAAAUGAAGCACGAGAAAAACUAGACAAAUCAUUCGGCUUCAUUAGCAAUACUUCUUUAUUGGAUGCUAGCAUCUGUUCUUGUGUCCCUGAGAUCCAUGCCACUUUUCAUCAGGAUGUGAAUACCUUUUUAUUUGCACAGUGGGAUAUUGACAAGGUCCAAAAAAUUUCCACUUCUUUUUCUAACCUCCAAGCUAAUUUUGCUUCGUUGCUGCUGACCAUUCUACAACAAAGCAAGAAGCUGCUGCUCUAGCUAUUGAGAUCGAGGAAUUGAAGGAAAAACUAUCCAUUGCAAAACUUAAUCUUAAAGAAAAGGUCAAUCAUGCCAAGAACUUGUCUACUCAAGCCGCUUCUGUCAAAGUGAAAAUUAUCAAUACCAAAGAGAAAAUCAAAGCAAUGAGAAACAGUAGAUCUCAAGCUAAAGAAACUAUCCAGCAUUGUAAUUGUUUAUAGGAAGCUUUCAAAAAAAUAGCUUAUGAUGUAUUUGGAGAGCAGUAGCCUCUUUUUUUAUUAUUUUUUUCUCUAGAUAUUGUUUUAUUUCUUUUGUUAGACUAGUCCAUUAAAUUUUAUGGCUCCUUAAUAAAUUUAUUCUUAGCCGUUUGUCGGCCAAACAA